UUAUAACCUUAAACGAAAUGAAAAUCAAGCAAUAUCGGGAGUUACUACAGAUUUAUGUAAACAGAAAUUUAAAAGAUUUACUCCACCCCAGGUGUGAUUUAAUGAAUUUUCUGCCUAUUCAUAUCAAUAGGGGAGUUCAACACACAUCUUGUAACAUGGCUUUUUGACGGUAGGAAGCGCAUUCAUGGCUUAAACUGAUCUCUCCUGUUACACCAAUGGUGAAACGGCAAAAGAUGGGGUGAUAAACGGCGGGAAGAUACCGUACGAAUGCUGGUCUGGCUCUUGAAGAGGUGUCGAGGAUUGGAUUGCGUCCCUUGUUUUUUGAGAGAAAGAAGAUUUCCAAGGAAGGACUGCAUACAAAGGAAAAGGGCUUUAUUUAUAUUGAAUAAACCAAUGGGAUUAAAGCAGGAAAGAACACGUCAUAUAUGAUAACAUAUUAUCACAAAAUUUUACUUAUACGUUAAUAAAGUCUUAUUUGUGUGGUUUUUAAACAUUAAAGUUAAACACAGAAGGAUAUCAUAUCAAAAUUUGUGAGUCAAAAGCAAUGUAAAAUAGUAAUUUCAAUUAUCCAAACUUUGAAAAUUCGUAAAUCUGCACCAAAUUUAUAGAUCAGUGAUCAUUUUUUAUAUAUUAAACAGAAUAAAUAUUACCUUUCCUUAUUUGGGCGUGUUGUUUUCCUUUCGAACAAACAAUAAGUACUUCUAUUCAUUAUUGACUGACAUAUGAGACAGCC